CUACGGAUAUUUUUGUCUGAUUACUGUUUCUCCUACAGUUACUGCAGCUAACAGCCCUUGCUCUUUACCACGCCUCAUCUUGGGAUAGCCAUAGAGCGACUGAUAUGUAUUUCUGGCACACAUGGACUUCUUCAGAAGAGCUGAUGCACAAGUCUGCCAAAUAGCACUGGCACUUAAUACACUCAAAUUGUAAAGAAGAUUUUAAUCCUUGCAAGAACUCACCUUUUCACUCUCAGCCUCUGGCUGUCCUGUGUGGGGAAGAGAAAUGUUCAACAAGGCUGGUCAGAGAGGUUGGCUUAGUAUCCAGCUCCGGUCCCUGAGCGAGCUUUCUUUUAUCUCGAGAGACUGAUUCCACUUAGACCCCUCCUAUGCCUGGUUUUGCCAUAAAUCCAGAAUGAUAACCCCCACUGUGCUGAAAUAUUCACAAGAGGAGUAUCACCGCUGUUAUUUAAGGAACGCCACAAAAAAAGAAGACACGGAAAUGCGUGGAGCUCAAGUCUCGGGAGCUAAACAAGAGAGAAAAGGAGGAUUGCAAUCCUUAGAGCCUGUAGAGGCAGACGGCUGUUGGCUGUCAAGGGAGAGGAUUAGCACCUACGUGUCUUUCAGUGUAUUUAUUUCUUAUGAUAUCUGUCUUCUCAUGAGGCAGAGGCAUUUUAGAGCACUUCAGAUGCAGUUGCGUUUGGGAAGAGGCACCCGCAGAUCUGGAGACAUCACUCUGAGAAACCUGGGGGGUCAUGGAAGUAUAAGCCUGGCUGACACAAUGAAAUACCCAAUGAAGAGUGAGCUCUGUGUAUUUUGCUUCUGGCUUAUGUUUCCAGAAUCCCACAGUUUGAUAAGCGAUAGUUUGGAAGAGCCAUUCCAGUGUACCUGA
ensembl:lncRNA